CAGGACACUAUUUUACCCACACUGUGUGGACACCAAGAACAAAACCUGGUCCUCUUUAGAAGAUAAGCUGCCAAAGGGCUGGUACUAUGCUGCCAAACCUCCUCUAAUAACAUCCAAGCCACGGUGGCGAGCCAAACAGAAAAGAGAACCAAAGGAAGGUUUGUGCCAGCAGGCGGGAAACACCUGCUGUGCUUUCUGGAUGACCUUAUCAUACUGACACCUGACCACUUUGGCUCCCAGCCACUGCUGGACAACAGCAAUUGGUGUAGCCACCAGACUACCACAGUCGCUUAUGUUUGUCAAGGAGUCCCAGAUCAGGUAGAUCUACAGUACCGUCAAC